GGUCCCAUAACUCAGUUGGUCAGAGUGUCGUACUAAUACUAUGAUUCAUUCAUAAGAUUGGUAAUGCGAAAGUCGUGAGUUCGAGCCUCACUGGGACCA